rnacentral:rRNA from 1 species
AUUGGACGCCGGCGGAAUGCUUUACACAUGCAAGUCGAACGGUAGAGGGGGCAACCCCUCGAGAGUGGCGAACGGGUGAGUAAUAUAUCGGAACGUGCCCAGUCGUGGGGGAUAACGUAGCGAAAGUUACGCUAAUACCGCAUACGAUCUAAGGAUGAAAGCGGGGGAUCGCAAGACCUCGCGCGAUUGGAGCGGCCGAUAUCAGAUUAGGUAGUUGGUGGGGUAAAGGCUCACCAAGCCAACGAUCUGUAGCUGGUCUGAGAGGACGACCAGCCACACUGGAACUGAGACACGGUCCAGACUCCUACGGGAGGCAGCAGUGGGGAAUUUUGGACAAUGGACGCAAGUCUGAUCCAGCCAUUCCGCGUGCAGGAUGAAGGCCCUCGGGUUGUAAACUGCUUUUGUACGGAACGAAAAGGUCUCUCUUAAUACGGGGGACUCAUGACGGUACCGUAAGAAUAAGCACCGGCUAACUACGUGCCAGCAGCCGCCGUAACAC